rnacentral:rRNA from 1 species
GACGAACGCUGGCGGCGUGCCUAAUACAUGCAAGUCGAGCGGAUCUCUUCGGAGAUCAGCGGCGGACGGGUGAGUAACACGUGGGCAACCUGCCUGUAAGACUGGGAUAACUCCGGGAAACCGGGGCUAAUACCGGAUAACCCUUCGGACCUCAUGGUCCGGUGCUGAAAGACGGUUAUGCUGUCACUUACAGAUGGGCCCGCGGCGCAUUAGCUAGUUGGUGAGGUAACGGCUCACCAAGGCGACGAUGCGUAGCCGACCUGAGAGGGUGAUCGGCCACACUGGGACUGAGACACGGCCCAGACUCCUACGGGAGGCAGCAGUAGGGAAUCUUCCGCAAUGGACGAAAGUCUGACGGAGCAACGCCGCGUGAGUGAAGAAGGUUUUCGGAUCGUAAAACUCUGUUGUUAGGGAAGAACAAGUACGAGAGUAACUGCUCGUACCUUGACGGUACCUAACCAGAAAGCCACGGCUAACUACGUGCCAGCCGCCGCCGUAAGAC